GACGAACCGAGCGAACGUUGUUCGGAAUCACUGGGCUUAAAGGGCGCGUAGGCGGGCUGCCAAGUUUGGGGUGAAAUCCUCCGGCUCAACCGGGGAAGUGCCUUGAAUACUGGCGGUCUGGAGGGAGGUAGGGGCGUGCGGAACUAACGGUGGAGCGGUGAAAUGCGUUGAUAUCGCUUGGAACGCCGAAGGUGAAAACAGGCUGCUGGGGUUGUGCCGACGCUGAGACACGAAAGCCAGGGGAGCAAACGGG
rnacentral:rRNA from 1 species